UACGUAGGGGGCAAGCGUUGUCCGGAAUCAUUGGGCGUAAAGCGCGUGUAGGCGGUUCAGUAAGUCUGCUGUGAAAGUCCAGGGCUCAACCCUGGGAUGCCGGUGGAUACUGCUGGGCUAGAGUACGGAAGAGGCGAGUGGAAUUCCCGGUGUAGCGGUGAGAUGCGCAGAUAUCGGGAGGAACACCUAUUGCGAAGGCAGCUCGCUGGGACGUUACUGACGCUGAGACGCGAAAGCGUGGGGAGCAAACAGG
rnacentral:rRNA from 1 species